rnacentral:rRNA from 1 species
AUGAACGCUGGCGGCGCGCCUAACACAUGCAAGUCGAACGGCACCUAUCUUCGGAUAGAGGCGAGUGGCGAACGGCUGAGUAACACGUGGAGAACCUGCCCCCUCCCCCGGGAUAGCCGCCCGAAAGGACGGGUAAUACCGGAUACCCCCGGGAGCCGCAUGGCGCCCGGGCUAAAGCCCCGACGGGAGGGGAUGGCUCCGCGGCCCAUCAGGUAGACGGCGGGGUGACGGCCCACCGUGCCGACAACGGGUAGCCGGGUUGAGAGACCGACCGGCCAGAUUGGGACUGAGACACGGCCCAGACUCCUACGGGAGGCAGCAGUGGGGAAUCUUGCGCAAUGGGGGCAACCCUGACGCAGCGACGCCGCGUGCGGGACGGAGGCCUUCGGGUCGUAAACCGCUUUCAGCAGGGAAGAGACGAGACUGUACCUGCAGAAGAAGCCCCGGCUAACUACGUGCCAGCAGCCGCGGUAAUACGUAGGGGGCGAGCGUUAUCCGGAUUCAUUGGGCGUAAAGCGCGCGUAGGCGGCCCGGCAGGCCGGGGGGUCGAAGCGG